rnacentral:pre_miRNA from 1 species
CCACUACAUUAAGGGCGUGUCAGACAGGCCGAAAUUAGUGUCAUAUGUUAACAAAGAAGAAUGUCGUAUUGCACUUGUCUCGGCCUGCCUGCCACGUGCUCUAGU